rnacentral:rRNA from 1 species
UCUACCUACGGGGGGCAGCAGUGAGGAAUAUUGGUCAAUGGCCGAGAGGCUGAACCAGCCAAGUCGCGUGAGGGAAGACGGCCCUACGGGUUGUAAACCUCUUUUGUCGGGGAGCAAAGCGAACCACGUGUGGUUCAUUGAGAGUACCCGAAGAAAAAGCAUCGGCUAACUCCGUGCCAGCAGCCGCGGUAAUACGGAGGAUGCGAGCGUUAUCCGGAUUUAUUGGGCGUAAAGCGAGUGCAGGCGGUUCCAUAAGUCU